rnacentral:sRNA from 1 species
GUCAAGUCAUUUAACUAAAAAAUUUAAAAAUUAUUUUUUUAUAAAAUUGUGAAUUAACAAUGGCUGUACCUAAAACUUCUGUAAUAUCUGUUUUGAUCUGCUUAAGCUUGUUCAUCGUCGGCUUUAAUAUAUUCGAGGGUGAUUCCCAGUCGGAUUUAGCGGGCGUCUUGUUCUUGGCAUGGAUAGUAUUGAUGCUGGAUAAGUUCCGCAUCUAUUUGCGCGUUUUCAAUCGACGGUGGAUCUUUCCGAUCGCAGUGGCGGUCUACUAUCUAUUCAGCCAAGUCGUAGUGUUUUUUAUGUGGGAUCCGAUAUGGUUUAGAAUCGAAAAUAUAAUGCACUGGAUCUUUUCAACACGAUUUGUAUACACCAUCUAUUACAAGUUUCCAACUAUUGUUGUGUUUAUGAGGCGACAAUCGCUGGCUUUUUUCAAGCUGGUCAUGAUGCUUCUAGUUUUCUACAAGACCCUGAAGAGUUAUCAAGUCCCCGAAGAAAAAAAAAGAUAUAGACGUGGAAUUCAUAAAGAAGCGUUAAGGGGUUUGCUGUCUAAGUCUGGAAAUCGAACUCCUCGAGUGUCUAACAGGCGGAAGAAGAAGCAGUAAAGACGUAAUGCCAAUAUUAGUUCAGGUUUGGAUUGCAGUACAAGCUCGUUCAUUAUAUAUAUUCAGCAGUUGCACAUUUGUGAUUGUUAUUUGGAAAUUCAUUUAAUGCUCGUUUUUACCAUAUUGUUAUUAAGAUACUUCGGUUGAUGAAACAAACAGAUCAAAUCACAUAUUUGUAUACGAUUUAUUUUAUACUUCUAUAUAUAAGUUUCGGUUUUUAUGCAAGCUCGUUAAUGGCUAAUGGUCCGUGUCGCACGCUUUUUAUAUAAUUGGGUUCCAUUUAGGUACACUCUACAGACGAUUAAUGGAACAGACUAUUAUACGAUUACAUAUUGUGUUCUGUUUAACUAGUUGAUUCUCCAAUAUAUAACAUGGUAACUCCAAUACAUAGGUUUCGGCUUUCGUUUUAU